UCCCACAGAUUUGCAAUAGAA
rnacentral:piRNA from 1 species